UGUGCCAACCGCUCUUUUUUUCAUGCAGGACACUCAAGUUGGCUUCGCUAACGGACACAGUUUUGAACUCGUAUAUUAGCGCCAUUUAUUGCUGCUUGGACCACAGCAUCUUCGGAAUUUGUAGACAUCCUGGCAGCUUACAAUUAGUUCGAGGUGAGACAUCUUGGAAAUGGGGGACAGCAUAAGGAGUUCCAUUACUAAGGUGCUGCCGGACCUGUCUGCCUCAAUCCUUGAAAUUGUACUGGAGGCACUACAAUCAUUAGGAGUGGAGACAUCUGAGAAACAAACCACACCAAAUAUGGAAAUUUCAAGCCAGGCCAGCAUAUCGUCUCCAUCUGUUUUAAGGUUUAAGGGUGGUGGCACAGCUAAGACCCAAGAGUCUCUUUCAAGACACUGAAUUUGAGCAGAAACCAUAAGGAUACUCAAAGGACCUGUGACUCUCAG